GACGAAGGUGGCGACCGUUGUUCGGAAUCACUGGGCAUAAAGAGCACGUAGGCGGCAAGGUAUGUCGGGUGUGAAAUCCCUCGGCCCAACCGAGGAAUUGCGCCCGAAACUACCCUGCUUGAGGAUGGAAGGGGAGCGUGGAAUUCCUGGUGGAGCGGUGAAAUGCGUUGAUAUCAGGAGGAACACCGGCGGCGAAGGCGACGCUCUGGUCCAUUUCUGACGCUGAGGUGCGAAAGCCAGGGGAGCAAACGGG
rnacentral:rRNA from 1 species